rfam:Picea glauca, whole genome shotgun sequence.
GCAUGCCUACAACAUAGCGUUAAUGCACCAAAUCCCAUUAGAACUCCACAGUUAAGUGCGCUCAUGCUAGAGUAGUACUGGGAUGGGUGACUACCGGGGAAUUCCUAGUGUUUUUCAUGCC